rnacentral:lncRNA from 1 species
AAACUUCACUGAGGUCCCAAAUGUCUUCAGUGCCCAGAUGAAUCCUUAUAACUCUAUUGAAAAUACAUUUAAAAAGCAGUUAUUGAUCAUGUAUUGUGAUCCUGGUCCCAAGCCUCACACUGUCGUCUCCUUCCUUCAAGGAGUUAACAGUUUUAUGAAGGGAAACAGCCAUGAAAAUGAACAGUCGCAGCUGAAGCAGGCAGUAUCUCAAGCCACUUGGGCCUGAAACUUGUGUCCUCAUUGUCAACCUUGAAGCAUAUAGAUGUCAUUCGGAGAAAUCCUUUGACUGCUCUCAGCCCAGACUUCCUCAUCUGGAGAAUGGAGAUAUUACCAGCGGCUCCUACUUUGUUUCAGUGUUUUGUGGGAAUCAUCUGAUGGAUGUAAAACCUUUUGGAAAAUGUAAAAUCCUAUAUAAAAAAAAGAUGAUCCUAAAAAUUGCAAUAUUAUAGGAUUAAACCAGAACAACAACCUUCAUCUAGGUUAUACAUGAAAAUCGAGUUUAAAAAUCUCUUAUUUAGUAAUACCAAAAGAUACUGGUUCAAAGAAUCAUGACUAUCACUUGUAUAAUCUUUCUACUUGUUCUCUAGCUAAAUGCCUUAAAUCUAUGGAGUUCUAAUACUGAAAGAAUUAAGAAAAUCAUUGCCACAUUAAAGGUGAAAGUUUUUAAAAAUAUAUUAAUGAGGUGGUGGGAAGUAGGCUGACAUUAAAGUAGGUUUGGAAGUGUUUGCUUUCUCUAAUUAAAUAGAGCUAAUGAGUUUCUCCACUGAGCCUGAGCACUGGGCUAAACAGUCUCACAAGCCUCUGGUUUCUGUGAUCUCAGUAAGAGAUGGCCAACUGGCAGCCGAAAAUAAUCUGCAUCAUGGGGUGAUUCAUCCUUCACACCUUUGGGUGAAACCUUCCUGUCAGAAUGCAGGAACAGGUUGCAAGCACCAUGCAGGGUUGAGUUAGAGUCUCUUUGGUCUUCAGAAGCUGCUGACCCCUCACUCAUAUCAAGAGACUGUAGCACAAGGUCACUACAACAAGAAUCAGAGAAUGGCAAAAUGAAAGCUUCCACAGAUCACAAAUCAGAGCUGGGAACAAAGUGACAAGGAGGAGAUAGAAUUUAACUGAACCACCCAUCGUUGAAAAUGGGGGCAGGGGGUAGGAUCUAGAGAUACAGAAGGCAUGCCUCUACCCUCUCCUUACUCACAAGCAUGGGAUAUGGGUUUUAAAAAAAGAAAAUGAAGACAAUCUAGCAUAUCUUCAGUGCUUUUGUGGGGUCUGCAGGUAUAAUCAAUCCCUUGGUGUAGUUUAUAAAGCCAUUUAUGACCUGGCCCAGCUUUCCUCUCCAUUUCUGCACAUUCCCUGAACAUCUCACCACCACCUCGCAUCACCACGAAGAUGGAAGGAGCUUCUCCCAGACCUGGACGCGUCCUCUGUACGUGCUGCCCGUCCUGCCCGAAAUGACCUGUCUUUCCUCUGCACAUUCUAAGUCUUCCUUAGUGGAGCCACCUGCUCAGCAAAGACAUUCCUGACCACCCCCUUUCUGUCACCCUGUUUCCCCCAGUUCCUCAGACUCCUUAAACUUGGUCCCUCUUUCAGGUCUUUGAACAGGUGCUUGUCUCCAUCUUUGUCAUCCUUAUUGCAAUUUAUCUCUCAGGUCUCCACUUAAAUACCACUUGGAGGAGAAAUCCUUCAUAUCCCAUUGACUUCUCCAGUCAGGGCCCCAUCUAAUUUUCUACUAGAAUCCUGUUCUCUUCCUUCAUUACACUUGUCACAGCUUUUUAAAGUAAUCAAUCAAUAAAAAAUAUAGUGUAUGAACUUGAUUUAAGACUACACACACAAAUACUUGAGACUGUAACGUUGGUAAAUUUCAAGGACUAUGUUUUGCUCUUCAUUGUAGAUCCAGUAAUACUGGGUGCUCAAUAAAAUAUUUGAUGAACAAAUUCUCUUCUCAAAGUGCUCAGAGCAGUUUGUACAGUCUUUAAAUAUAACACUUAUUCCAUAGUAAUGUAAUUAUUUUCCUUCAUAUCUAUCCCCAUCCCUGGAUUUUGAGCUACUCAAGACUAGGUGAGAUGGCCCCACAGCAUCCUGCACUUGGCAUAUCUUAAUUGGCUUUAACCUGUCUUCCGGCUUCUUGGUGGCAAGAGCAGCUUGUUAGAAACAUGCCUGGUGCCUAACACAGUGUCUGGCACACAAAUAGGUUUUAAACAAAUGAAUGAAUGAAUGAAUGAAUGAAUGGCUAGAAUGUCUUCCCCUCCAUUUUCCCCUGACCUCCCAAAGUGCCCUUUAAAUGUUGGAGGAUAUUGCAUCCUAUCUCUUCGGUGAGAUACAGUGCACCGUCUGUGUGUGUUUCUUACUUAAAGCACAUUCCAUACAACUUACAGAACUUUAGAUUUACAGAAGAGAUGUAUAAGGAUGGAAAUUACUUCCUUGAAAAAAGGAUUUUUUCUGCAACAUGAUACAGAGACCUGUAGGCAUGCAGCUCUUUUUCCUGCAUUGAAUUUAAAGUAUGAUUUGCUGAAAACUGCUAUUUGUUAAUUCUUCAAGGAGAGUCUAUUUUAUAAAGCUUGAUGUACUUGUGUGCAAAUAGGUCCACUUUUGAGCUGUGUUAAAGUAAUCAGGCAAAUCCUUACUCAUCACCAGGUAGGACCUGGUUUGCAGGCUGGUGAUACAGCAGCUGCAAACACGGCACUCAGCUUGGGCUGCAGAAAUCAAGAUUGGCGCGGACAUACCCAGGCAAGUUCGAGAGGAGGUGUCUGCCUAGGAAGGGGAUGCAAAACUGCAUAAUUCAAAGGAGAAAUGAAAGGUACCAAAUGAAACUGCAGAAUACUUACAGAGUGCAUGAUUACCCUCUUGAAAUACCUGAAGGACUGCCACCGAAUUAGGCUUUUCUAUAUGACCCAAAGGAAAGGCUCAAGGUGCAGCUGAGUGGCAAAGACCUGAGGAACUAAGGGGAGGAGAAAACCAGAAGAUGGAAGGAACCUGGGUCUCUGAAUGACUGCCUGGAGCAUAACUCCCUUGCCAACCUGUAUUGUGCUGGGAAGUGGUUAACUCCUGGAAGAUACACAGGGAUUUCCCAAUGAUUGCAAAGCAGGCGUGGCAAAAUCACAGUCUUGGAUUCAGAAUGGGAAGCCCAGGUUUGAGUCCUAGCUCUACCACCUUGCUGGGACAAAUCAUUCCACCUUAGUUUGUCUCUAAAAUAAGAAAAAUAUGAACUCUGUCUUUCCAGACUUUCAAAUUCCAUAAGGACAGGGGUCAUGUCCAUUUUUUUAAAAAUUGUCUCCAUACACCUAUCCUAGCACCUGGUAUGUUGUAGCCCUCAGUAAAGAUCAUUGAGUGACUGAAUGAUGAUUGUGGAGACCAAAUAAGGUAAUAGACAUUAAAAUGCUCUAUAAAUCCUGUAGUGGUCUACACAGGGAAGUAUAAUUAUUGCCUAGACUGGGAAUGUAUGGAUUGCCCCCAAACUGAAGAGUCAUUUAUCUAUUUUAGGAUACUGGAAGAUACUUUGGCAAAUAUAUUUCAAAUGUGCAUAAUAACCUUGAUGAGGCCCAGCGCUGUAACGAGAGUGAGAGGCAGGGCAGAGACCUAGCUGUUUUCUUGCCCUUGAAUUCUGAAAUUUCCGCAUUCUUAAAGUAAACUUAUCUUUGUUGUCCAGUUAGCAGAGACAUUUUUUGUUAAUUGAAGCCAGGAGUCUUUAGCAAGCCUAACUAUUAACUAGAAGCUGCUUGAGGGUUCACAUGUAUUCACAGUUCUGAGCACAAUAUCCCGCAAGAAGAAAGUGCUCAGUAAAUGUAAGACAUUGAUACUCAGCUUCAGGGAUGUUCCCUAAUAGCUCCUCUCCAGAAACGGCUCUCCUCCCUGAGCAGUCUCCUUCCAUAAGCAUCUUGAACGGCUUCUCCACCCCCAGAAGUCCCCUUCCAUAAGGAUCAGUAAUUACUACUGAUAUAUUUGUCCCACCUUCCCUUCUGAAACAAUGUUCUCAUGCCCCAGCAUACACCCUCCACCAGGACACAGGGAAUCAUGGUGGAAGUGAAGAGGCUGAACACUGUACUAGAACUGUAAGCUCAUUUAUUGCAUGAAGUUUAUUUAGCAUCAACUAUAAGUUGGUGAAUGUUCAAAGAAGUGAAAGAAGGGAGUCAAAUUUCCAGACUUGGUGACAGGUGAGUAACAUAUAGAGCUUAGAAUUGUUGGUAGAUAGGCACAAACACACAGCUAUAAUAUAAUUUAGAUAUUAUAAUAGAUUCAAGUACACGGCCCUCUGAGAGCUCAGAGGUUAUGCCAAUGUACUGGGACUUGAGAUCAAAGAAGGCUUCAGAGAGUAGGAGAUAUUUGAAUUGGACUGUGAAAUAUGCGUAGGAUUUCUCCAGAUGGCAAGAGUCAGGAAGAAGGGCAUUCUAAGCAGAGGAAAUAACAAGUUCAGCUACAAAGAGGGGUGGACAGAUGUGACAAUGACAGGGACUACACUGCAUCUGGAAAGGCUAGACUAGCAUUUUCCAGAAGAUGCUCUGAGGAAAAAAAGAUGUUCCAUAGCCAAUAAGUUGGAGAAAUGUAUCCUAUAUUCUUUUUUAGAAAUGUAAAAUGCAGACUUGCCUAUUAAAGGCUCUGAGCAAUCAUUUGAGCAGCUACACAUAUAGUCCAGAGAAAUAUAGCAGGGGGGCAUGAAGGGCGACAGGGAAAGUGAAUACAAUAGAGGAUAGAUGUAGACAGAUUUCAGGGGGAGCAUAAGUUGCUAAAUGUCGAAGAAGACUGGGUGUAAGAGGACUAGGUUUUAGCUUGUUAAACUAAAUAGAUAGCAAUGCCAUCUGAGAAGAAAAGUAUUUAGAAAAGGUAACAUGGGUUUUGAAACUUGUCAUGUUGAAUGUGAGCUGACAGUGAGGGAAGCAUGUGAAGAUGUUGAGACAAUUGACAGUACACGUCCAGGAUCCACAAGUGAUGUUGACGCUCAAGAAGAUGCUGGACAACCAUUAGAACUGCAAUAGAAGAGAUCAAGCCCUGGACAGGACAUUGGAUUGGAUGAGGCCAUUUUGGCCCAGGGACUGUAUGAUUUUUAGGGUCAGAGGGACCCAUGCUGAAGAGUGUAGAUGGCCAAGUCUCUGGCUACUGACUGCAUCCAAGUUCAUAACCACCUGCAUCUGACGACAGAAGUACUGACCGCAAAGAAGAGCUCAACAUCUGCACACAUCCCACUGUAAGGAAGUAGACUAAAAGACAUGCAUUUAACCAGUAAAACUUUUCAGGGACCCCGUAAAACCAUUAUUUUUCUGUUGGGCUGUCCUAACUCAGAAGAAACAAUAAAGCCACAGCAUAUUCAAGAUCAUAGAAAACUGCGUACAUUCCUUGUCAUGUACUUUACUGAUCAGUACAGCCUGGUAGAGUGGAGAGAGCACUGGGCUAGGAGUCAGG